GCUUGGAUGGCUCAGUUGGUUAGAGCGCAGGUCUCAUACUUGCUGUAUGACCGCCCUUGCGGUGGGUAAUCCUGAGGUCAUGAGUUCGAUCCUCAUUCCGAGCA